AGAAAGGUGCUCGAGUGGUUGAAGAGGCACGCCUGGAAAGCGUGUAAACGCCAAAAGUGUUUCGAGGGUUCGAAUCCCUUCCUUUCUG
rnacentral:tRNA from 1 species